GUGUGGAUAGUUUAUAUGUUAUUUGACCUGACGGUGUGAGAGACCGAGGUUACCAUUUAUGUUAUAUCCAACGGAGUUGUAUAUGAAUAUUGAUUAUGAAAGAGAACAAAUCAGGUUGCAACAACUUUUUGACGAAAUUGUUGCUAAUUCCGAACCAGAACCGUACAGUGCGGUGCAGUGGAGUGUAUAAAAAAAUGAGGAAACAAACGGACAAUAAUUUCAGUUUGUGUUGGACAUCUGUUGAAUAAUUUUAUUUUUUGUGUGACAUUUCAACCCUUGUCGAUAUGUUUGUUGAUAUUAUGUAUUAAAAAACUUGACAUGUUUUUGUAAAUUGUUUGUCAAUUAUGUUAGUAUCUAAAAGAAGCCACUUUUUUUUAAUGUGCAUUUUUUUCCCGAAUAUAAAUAAAUAUUGAUCAUUUCUUA
rnacentral:lncRNA from 1 species